rnacentral:rRNA from 1 species
AUUGAACGCUGGCGGCAGGCCUAACACAUGCAAGUCGAGCGGAUGAAGGGAGCUUGCUCCUGGAUUCAGCGGCCGACGGGUGAGUAAUGCCUAGGAAUCUGCCUGGUAGUUGGGGAUAACGUCCGGUAACGGGCGCUAAUCCCGCAUACGUCCUGAGGGAGAAAGUGGGGGAUCUUAGGACCUCACGCUAUCAGAUGAGCCUAGGUCGGAUUAGCUAGUUGGUGGGGUAAAGGCCUACCAAGGCGACGAUCCGUAACUGAUCUGAGAGGAUGAUCAGUCACACUGGAACUGAGACACGGUCCAGACUCCUACGGGAGGCAGCAGUGGGGAAUAUUGGACAAUGGGCGAAAGCCUGAUCCAGCAAUGCCGCGUGUGUGAAGAAGGUCUUCGGAUUGUAAAGCACUUUAAGUUGGGAGGAAGGGCAGUAAGUGAAUACCUGGCUGUUUUGACGUUACCAACAGAAUAAGCACCGGCUAACUUCGUG